rnacentral:rRNA from 1 species
CGUGCAGAAGCGGGUAUGAAUAUACAAGACGAGAAGACCCUAUGGAGCUUUAGACGCCCACCAAUCACGAAAAGCAGGUCUCGCUCAACAGACUUCCAAACAACGUGAUACUGGCACAAACGUCUUCGGUUGGGGCGACCGCGGGAGAGAAAAAAGCUCCCGAGAGGAUUGGGGCUACCCUAAAACCAAGAGCUACACCUCUAAGUCACAAAACAUUUGACCAAAAAUGAUCCGGCUACAUGCCGAUUAACGAACCAAGUUAC